rnacentral:rRNA from 1 species
AUUGAACGCUGGCGGCAGGCCUAACACAUGCAAGUCGAGCGAGCGGCGGACGGGUGAGUAAUGUAUGGGGACUGCCCGAUAGAGGGGGAUAACUACUGGAAACGGUAGCUAAUACCGCAUACUAUCGGAUAACCCAUAUGGGAUUAGCUAGUAGGUGAGGUAAUGGCUCACCUAGGCGACGAUCCCUAGCUGGUCUGCGAGGAUGAUCAGCCACACUGGGACUGAAACACGCCCCAGCCUCCUACGGAGGCAGCAGUGGGGAAUAUUGCACAAUGGGCGCAAGCCUGAUGCUGCCAGGCGGCGUGUAUGAAGAAGGCCUUAGGGUUUUAAAGUACGUUCAGUCGGGAGGCGUUACCUACAGAAGAAGCACCGGCUAACUCCGUGCCAGCGGCCGCGGUAAUAC